UUUCCUCCUUACAUCUGCGUAUGAUUUUUGAUGACUUUGGGCGGUUUUCAACCUUUCCCGAAUUAACUUAACCUUCUCCAUGGCCUUGAACACCGCAUCCGGUCCAGUCGCGGCAGCCUCACCAACUUCAAACCAACCAAUGGGUGAUCUACACCUUCUACCAUACAAAGCUUCAAACGGGGCCAUUCCAAUAGUAGCAUGAAAACUGUUAUUGUAAGCAAACUCAAUUAAUG
rnacentral:lncRNA from 1 species